ensembl:lncRNA
CUCUCUCUCUCUCUCUCUCUCUCUCUCUCUCUCUCUCUCUCUCUCUCUCUCUCUCAUCCCUAUACUCUCUCUCUCAUCCCUAUAUUCUCUCUCUCCACAUCCCUCACAUCCCGGACUGUGUCUCUGUCUUUCUGUCUCACGGUUGCCCGGGCAGCAGACGGUGGGUGGCCUCAAACUGUCGCGUGGAGAGACUAUACGAUCUAAGGGCCCUGGCAGAGGCAGUGGGCGGACCCCGACACAGCAAGAGUAAUGUCUGCCACUUUCGGAUGCCCCACAUUGAUAAUUCCCCCCCCUUACAUUCCCCCUUUCAUUCUCACACUUCAUUCCCUCCACCCUGGCCUCUUUGCCCUGGCUGCCUCUCCCCAUGUCCCUAUUCACCGACACAAAGUCUUAUUCUCCUCCACAGCUCCUCUUUCAUUUUUGGUUAACCUUAUCUUAUCCUCUUUAACCUUUCCCCCGGCUCCCCUGUCUUCUAAUCAAUUAAGUAACUUCUGUGCGUCUAUACUGUAACUUUUUAUUUCAACUCCUUCUGCAGGAAAUCAAUCAUUGUAGUCUGGGAUUUUUGAAAAAUGCAACAAGAAAGCUUUUCCCCCCGUAUCCAUCACUGCGCCACUCAUGCAGCUUUUUCACUUCCUGUCUUCCAUCACCAACCCCAUCGCCUCCAUCAAUCCACCCAUACAUUCAGCCGUGUGUUUGGGAGGUGAUGGAGUGGGAAAGAGACGGGCGUACAGGACAGUUUCAUAAUGAAGGAGGAGGAGGGGGAGGGCUGGGGGGGUAGGUGGUGCUGAUGGAUGGCUGAACAUAAGACAGAGGCAUUUUUCUGACAACGGGUAAAUAGUAGUUGUAGAUCACCGCAGCUGGGAAAUAUUCCCUUGAGAAAAACACUUGAGGUAUAAUUUUCCAUGACAAAUGAAGGCAGUUGAUGCGGUCUCUGAUACGUUCCUCCAGACGCCAUAGCGGACGAUCACUUAAGGGGGCGCUACGCCUUACCAGCCUGGCCAGAGUCACUACGCUCUUCUCACAACAGCUUUGGUGGGCAAAAUAGAAACAUUAAGGAGAAAUAUGAAGUUUACUUCGUAUGUUUACCGCCACCAGCCUCUGAAGGGGCUGUAGUUUGAUUCUCAAUCAGUUUACGGUUCAGUUUGCCUUCCUGUGAAGUGAGUUUGAGUGUAAUUCCUCUCCCAAUCAUUAUUAAACAAAAGAAGAGGGAAGUCUUUCAGUGCACACUUUGAGAUUUAAAAGGGAAUUACAACCUGUGAAUAGAUUUGGAAUAAGUGACAAACAUCAAAACAUAGCCAACCAACAUCCCCCUUGUUCAUAAGUUAUUAACAUUGAUUUGGGCAUCAUUAGCACUUAGCUGUUUUUUUCCAACAUCUGUCUAAUAAAACACACAGCAACUGUGCUAUUAGGAGUAUCUUUUAAUCUACAUAUUUCUAAACCCUUUUAAAGUUUACUCCACUGACAUUUCCAAAGGUCUUGGCAGAAGAACGAUGAAUAAUGCAUUUCCUAAGUACUUCUGUUUCAAUCAGAGCCCAUCAACGAGUCCAUUGUGUUUCCACCAGACCCCCGAUGCACUGCAGUUGAUAAGUAAACCCCUGGUAAUGCUGCUCACACAACAGGCAUACCAGUUUACACAGCAGUGGUCGAUGUUUUAUGUAUAUAAUCUCACUAGUUACCCACAAUAGAUCAGUCAAGUGACAAUACAUGAUUACAAUACAAGAGUUUGUACGGUUAUAGUUUAAGAAUACCCCAAAUGAUGCUGGUAUCAUGACACACCCAUACGGUUUUACUAUUUCAAAUGUAGUCAUUUAGCAGACGUUUCUACCCAGAGCCCCUUACAGUAAAUUCAGAUACAUAGGACCAGGUUGGUGUGCAGGUAGACUGUAGAGAGAGCCCAAUAUACUGAGUCCAACUCAAAUUGUGCUGCACUAUAUACAACUGGAGUUACUAUAAUGACUCUGAUUAUGAACCGUGUGGGACUGACUUCAAAAGUCUAACUUCAUGUUCUCUCUUUACAGAGCCUUGACAUUUCUCUCUGAUGGAAAGAAACAGCGACUGGAACCCCGCUAUGAGGACACCUGGUUAAACCCAUUCAGAAGUCCACCUCCCCUCCCUCUGUGUGCUAUGCUUUCUGCCAUUACUUUGUUUUGUUCUCCCCGGCAUACCAUUGAGGUUUGGACCACCACUUGUACGGGUCUGCCAGCCCGAUUUGUACAUCGCUCUGGAUUGGACGACGUCAGCAAACAAUCUCUGCUUUCUGGCUGGCUUUCCGUUGCCAAGAAAGGCACACUGCCAAAUGUAUCCUGUCGUCCAUUUGAUGGAACGACACUUAAUAUGGAUUUAACUGAUUAUCGGAUAUGCGGCAACAAGAUGGAUGUGGUAGCGUUCGAUAACAACGUAAGCAAAUCUGGAAUGUCUAAAGAUAGAUAUGGAUCGAAAACAUAAGUAAACAUCAUCUGGAUAUUCAACAGAAGGACUUGCAAUGAAAUAGCUAGCCUAUUAAAAAAAAAACGGAAAAAGAAAAAAAAUUAUUGGCUAGCAGAAAAUGGAUAGAAAACAACAACAAUAACUGAUUCCUAUAACUCCGGAAGAGCCUGGGUUGGGGUAUGAAUAUGUGUUGCACAGAUAAACAAAGGCCCUUCAGACUCCCUGCCUGAGAAGCUUGAUGCACCACUGGACCUGGGGACUAACGCAAGGCCAGGCGGACUUGGAUGAAGCUUGGCAUGGGGACAGUUGAACUCAGCUGAGCUCAUCUGUUCUGGAUGUCCAUCCACUAAACUGAAUAAGAAGAAGAAAACAAAAGAUCUACUGAAUGCCCUCCGUCUAACUUUUCCACCGCCAUUCUGGUAUUAAACUUGACGUGAUGGCACCUGAGCUGGAGUUGGAGAUAAGACACAAAGUCAGACCGGAUUCAGCCCGACAGCCUAUAUAUCUGUUGGGAGUCGACCGGUACUGGCUGGACUCCUAGUGGCUGAGCUUCUAUCUACGGGCCAGGUCGGGCAUCGGCUCCUACGGCCUGGAAGGGGGAAUGCUACGGAGGGCUCUGUCUCUGAGCUCCAGCGCCUCACAUGCAGAUCUUCCCUUCCAGACCGAGGGCUCAGCACGCACACACUGCGGCCAAACACACACCCAGGCACACACCCACACACGCACACACACACGCACCACAGAAGACCGACGGAUGGACAGAUAGAAAAGAAAAAGAAGAUGCCAAAUCUCCACUUCUCACUCUGCAACUUCCUCAUCCACCUGCCUCUUCUUCAUCAUCUUCAUUAAAAUUGUCAGGCUAUUCUUUUCUGCAUUUUAUUUUAUUGCUAUCACGGCCAUUUCAUCAACAUAACCAGGAUCACGUGAGAUCUGCCAAUCAAUUUGGAACCUGCAAAGCACCGGUUAUAAAUGAAAAGUGUUACUGAUGAGCCUAUAAUUGGCAGUAAAUAUGACUGUACAAUGUACUCCCUAUGACCACCGUCAUCGAUACGUCGUCUUUGCCAUCUUCAUCACCAUCUUCAUCAUAACAGUGGCUAUUUUGGUUUUCACCCACACCGCCAUCAUCGCUUCCUCCCCCACCAUUACCAUAUUAAGUAUCAUCUCACACAUCCCAAUGGGGGAGUCUGGUUGCGUUAGCACAACGUUAAAAUAUUCAUUUGCACAGUCAACAAAUUUCACUGACAGGGAGAGCUGGGAAAAGCCUCAUGAAAUACCAUCCAUGUUAAACCUGGUAUCAGCCACUCCCUACCAUGACAAUAAUACUGAGGAAUCGACAAAUUUGUUUUCCAUGCGUUAAAAGGCAUGCAUGGAUAACUUGACUCACAGCUUAUCGUUGGGGUGUAAGUCUGUAAGUGUGUGUGUGCGUGUGUGUGUGCCAAUGCGUGCACGUGUGUGUCUGUUUGUGUUGGUAAGUCACAUUCACUCUCAUCAUUGUUCUUGUUCCGAGCUCAGAGGGUAGUCAGUAACAUUACAGUACAGACGGUACAGCAAAGACAGUAAAGUACGGACAGUACAGUACAGACGGUACAGCACAGACAGUACAGUAAAGACUUUACAGUACAGUACAGACAUUGCAGCACAGUACAGACAAUACAGUAAAAAAGGUACAGUACAGACAUAACAAUAGAGACGGUACAGUAAAGACAGUACAGUACAGACGGUACAGAAAGUGCAGUAAAGAACAGACGCUACUGACGCCUCACCAAUGCUGAUGGAAGACAUAUUCAUACAUGAGUCCCUCUCACUCUCUCGCUACUGCUCGUGUUCCUCUUAGCUUUUCUUUGGGCUUUAUAUUUUGUAUGUGUACAUAAAACAAUUUCAAAUCUUAUAGUUUUGUACAUGUAAUUUUUAUGGUGUGUUGACUUUUUUCUAAUAAAAUAAAAUAAAAAAAGAUGAG